GUGGGGAAUAUUGGACAAUGGGCGAAAGCCUGAUCCAGCCAUGCCGCGUGUGUGAAGAAGGUCUUCGGAUUGUAAAGCACUUUAAGUUGGGAGGAAGGGCAGUAAGUUAAUACCUUGCUGUUUUGACGUUACCGACAGAAUAAGCACCGGCUAACUUCGUGCCAGCAGCCGCGGUAAUACGAAGGGUGCAAGCGUUAAUCGGAAUUACUGGGCGUAAAGCGCGCGUAGGUGGUUUUGUAAGUUGGAGGUGAAAUCACCGGGCUAAACCGGGGAACUGCAUCAAAAACUGCAUGACUAGAGUACGGUAGAGGGUAGUGGAAUUUCCUGUGUAGCGGUGAAAUGCGUAGAUAUAGGAAGGAACACCAGUGGCGAAGGCGACUACCUGGACUGAUACUGACACUGAGGUGCGAAAGCGUGGGGAGCAAACAGGAUUAGAAACCCGGGUAGUCC
rnacentral:rRNA from 1 species